rnacentral:rRNA from 1 species
CGUCGAGCGAGAGGGGGCUAAGGAGGAGGACGCUGCUUGAGCGCCGGGGCGGGAGCUAGACGGGGGAGGGGGGGCGCGGGACGGAGUUCUAGUCCGGCGGCGCGGCGGUGGCUGGGGGCCUAGUCCGGCGGGGCCGCGGUGGCCAGAACCUAGGCCGGCGGCGCGACGGAUGGAGACGAGGAGUGGAUAGGCGGAGGCGCGGGCGUGCUCCCCUACGGUUCGGGAGCACGAGGAGCUAGCCGUCGGUGUCCCCCCGGAGGGCGCGUGGAAGGGAAGGAGAGAAGGAGAGGAAGGAAGAGGGAGUGUGGGAGAGAGAGACAAGAGGACGUCCAUGGGCGGUACCGGUAGUACCUGUCGUCGGUACGCCGUCCUCGAGCGGUGGCUUCAGGGGGUUCGUGGCAUGCGGGGCUUAGACCGACCCUUGGCCUGCUCCGGCUCGGGAGCGCGGGUCUAGGCGACGUCGUUGGACCUUCAAGCGGCGGCGGUGGAGCCCGCCAAGUUGACUACGUGGCGGCGGGAGUGGAGGGAGGGGCUGUCUGCGCGGCAGCACUGAGGUGGAGGACCGAUCCGGUGGCGCUCGGAGGUGGAGGGCCGAAGGGCUGCGGCGGGGCAACCGGAGGAGGGCGCCGGGGUGAAUUAGUUCGGGGCGGCAGAAGGGGCACGCUCGGUUGGUCCGGACUGCCGGUGGGGGCGUUCGUGGGCAGGAGCUACAAGCGAACCACCUCUGAUCCUCGUCGCUGUCUCUGCGGCGGGGCUCCGCCUUAGGGACGGAGGCGAACCAAGGCAGGUGUCGUCGUGUGGUGUAGAGGGGGCAGCAGGUGGACGGUACAAGUACAGGUGUCGAAGGUAAAGUCGGUAACUUCGACAUCUACCUCGCGCUGUACGUCGUCACAGCGGGGUUGUCCGUACGUUGCGGCUGCUGCUGUCCCACACCGCACGCAGACAGGCCGUACGACCCACACCACGGCUCCCCCGUUGUCAAACUUAACCGACCCCCAAUUUCAAGUCCAUUACGAUAACAGACCACCGUUUCCUGGUACGUCCGACAAAGCAAUGACUUUUUUGCGCACUGCGUUCCUUGUUCUAAAAAAGUUAUUUGAGGAUGAGAAUAAGAAAAGGGGAAGCCGAAAGAGACGGUACCUACACACGUACGCACGAUACACGCACUCACGCGAUGUCGUUAAACACAUUUACUUCGUAAAAGUUAACCCGUUUUAAUCAACUACCAACAUCUUCAAGUCUGUAAACAUAACCACUGCAAGUCAUUAAUAUCUUACUCUUCAUCGCACACGGCAGAACACGGGU